rnacentral:lncRNA from 1 species
CUUUCUGACUAUGGAUACGUGAAAUACGCCAUCAAGCAUUUUUUGGAAGAGAUAUCGACAUCACUGCUCAAAGAUGAAUGAUGACAACUGGCCAAUGAAUUGUGUUCCACAGACAUCAUCACAGAAUUGAAAGCUCUCAAUUUGCUACUGCAGGGAAAAGGAAAAAAAAAAUGGACUUGCCUAAGAAAUUAAUGACAGCUUGCUAAAAUUUAGUUUUGGAGGAAAAAAAGCACUUGAAAACUCUAAAUAUUUAUUGAGCAUUUACUAUGUGGAAAUACUUUCAUUUUAAAUAUAAUUUCAGGUUUAACUUCACCAUUACACUGUUGACAUAUCCCUUUUAAAAAAAUUCAAAAAUUGGUUGUCAUUUUUUAAACUAUGCAUUUUUCCAAGAUACUUAUGGAAUGGAAUGGUGAAGUCAUUGAGAAUUGUGUACUCUUCUUUUACCUGGACAUUGAAACUCUUUUACUGGAGAUGAUUGAAUUUUACGGUUAUCAUCGUAAUUUUAAAAUUCUAAGAGAAAUAUUAGACAGUGUUUUUUUUUUAUACAUGGACACUAAAUGUUGCUUCUGUGAAACUAUCAAUAUGUUUUCCAAUUACUAUUUUCUU